CCAGUGCCCCCAGAAAUAUUGCUCUCCUCCUCAUCUUUAUAAUGCCAAAUGCUCUCUCUCCACCACAGAGCGUGUUCUGGAGUGGUCCUGGUUGUAACAGGCCUCAAUCACAUUCCUCAUGGGUCCCCUGUAGGAUGUCAGCAGGGUGAUGGGAUGUGCAAUGCAGAGAUGCCCACCAUCACCCAAAAGGAUCCUUCAGGGGCUUUAUUCCCAUGUGGCAGCCAUCGAUGCUCCCCACGACCUUUUGGAAGGUGGAAGACCAAGCGAGCUGCUAAAAAACCAGAGGUGACUAAUGGCAGUUCAUUCCCACUGGGAAGCUGGAUGACCCUGCUCAUCAGCUGGAGGAUGCGGUCUGCCGCCCUGUGGACAAUGUCACUCACAGUGGACCGUGGCAUGUCAAAGGCCCUGGCUACCACACCGUAAGAUGUGCCA